GGAGUUGUGGCUGAGCGGUCGAAAGCGUCACCCUGCUAAGGUGAAGUCCUCGCGUUUGGGGACCGAGGGUUCAAAUCCCUCCAACUCCGCCA
rnacentral:tRNA from 4 species